AGAGUUUGAUCCUGGCUCAGGAUGAACGCUAGCGACAGGCUUAACACAUGCAAGUCGAGGGGCAGCAUAAAAGUAGCAAUACUUUGGUGGCGACCGGCGCACGGGUGAGCAACGCGUAUGCAACCUACCUAUCAGAGGGGAAUAACCCGGCGAAAGUCGGACUAAUACCGCAUAAAACAGGGGCACCGCAUGGUGAUAUUUGUUAAAGAAAUUCGCUGAUAGAUGGGCAUGCGUUCCAUUAGGUAGUUGGUGAGGUAACGGCUCACCAAGCCGACGAUGGAUAGGGGAACUGAGAGGUUGGUCCCCCACACUGGUACUGAGACACGGACCAGACUCCUACGGGAGGCAGCAGUGAGGAAUAUUGGUCAAUGGGCGGGAGCCUGAACCAGCCAAGUCGCGUGAAGGAAGAAGGAUCUAUGGUUCGUAAACUUCUUUGCAGGGGAAUAAAGUGCAGGACGUGUCCUGUUUUGUAUGUACCCUGAGAAUAAGGAUCGGCUAACUCCGUGCCAGCAGCCGC
rnacentral:rRNA from 1 species